CUCGCCGCUUCAACUUCCCCUCCGUCGUGUCCUCACGCUCCAGUCGUGGCCAUCGACGCCCGGUCGCGUUCGCCUCGCCCAACGUUCGCAGUCGCCCGACCGAAGUGAGACCCCCCCGGUGGAUGUGGCGCCGCCACGGCUGGUUUCCCGGCGCACAGAGAAGGCUGAGGUCCUUGGCUGCGUCCAUGUCAUGGGUGCGUACCUUACGCAUGAUACGGCGGUGCGGUGCGGACGCAGACUGGACGGGUCCCCAUCAUCGCUUUGAUCAUUGACGGCACAACCCGGUGUGGCCAAAGCCGGGCGUCCGCCCCUGGUCCCGGACCUGGCACCGUGCACAGGUACCAUCAUCGGUCACUGCCGCAGAGGACACCAACACGUCGCUCAACCCAUAGGAGACAAUGGAGGUAGUUCUUGGCUGCAGCUGCGAACUUUUGCAUCCCUGGAUCGGUCAUGGGACUCAUGGCCUCAUUCAAAGGAUUGGCUUCAGAUGCACACACUCAAGCAAGGAAAGUGCACCCCUCACCGCUCCUCAUAUUUGCUAAUAGUAGCUGAUGGGUCCUUGCUUAUGCACAUACACAAGAGAAGAACACGGAUAUGGAUCCAAAUACUGAAGAUAGCAAUCUGGUCCUAAAGAUUCCAACCGGCCACCAAACAAAAUUCGCUUGUAAGCCAACCUUGUCUAUUGUGUAAAUGGAAAGUAAUGUAAAAUACAAAGAGGAUGAAGGAAGACAUGGUUUUAUGGGUGAUAAUGAUGCGGAUACUUACACGACAUGACAUUGGCAUUCAAGCUGCGUGAAGUUUCUCAAUUAUUCUUCUGAUGGAGCAUACUUGUUCUUAGGUGUUUUGGAGGGAGUUAUUGUUGUGUGCCAACUAGAUACUGGAAAGAGAAGAGACAUACGAGACCACUGCGGUGGGACUGCGACAUCAAGCUGGGAGAUUUGAAUUUGGACAUCAAUGUGGCAGCAGAUUCAAGAUCGUCAGGAUGGACGUGGUGAUGUUUUCAUGUCCCAUUUUUUUCUUGUAGAUUGCAGAAUGUGCAGUUAUGUUCUUUAGUUUGAUUAUUCAUAAAUUGGAUUGCUUGUUCUGUAACAUUGCAUGACUGAAAUUUAACUUACUGUAUAAAUUGCUUGUCCCAUUUUUUUCCUUGUAGAAUGUGAGGCGUACUUUGUUUUGUUUGGACAAGACUUUAAAUAGCAUUUCCUGUGGUUCUCAGUAAUGGCUAGGCAAAAUUUACUAUGCUAUUGUUAUUUUGAAGCAAAUAAGAUUUUUUUCAUCAGAAAAAAAUAUGUGUGUAUUCAGCUAAAGAUGCAGCAUAUGCAAAGUCAUCUCAUGAAACACUAGCAGAGCAAACAUUCGAACCUAACCGGUUAUCAGGCUCCAAGCUUUGUGUCCUGGUUUUAAUUCGAAAAUCCUAACAGGUUUCUGUCGGCUCAUCUUCCAGAGGUAUUGCUAGCAAUAGCAGUGCAUCUUAUAGUUUUUAAUCAAGCUUUUGCUCUACUAACUUUUGAAGAAAGCCAUGCAAUUUUUGGGCACAAUAGCGGCAAGGAACAUUCACGGAGCCUUCUUUUUUUAGGUGACUGAUGGCCAUAUGUCUUCCUCGAUAUUUUCUUUUGUUCAUAUGUACAUGCAUGCA